CCUAUUUUCUAGAACCAUCCAGGAAUCAUCUUUCAUCUAACCUCUCAUUUUUUUCUCCGCCGUCUCUCUCCCCUCUCCAUCUAACCUCUAAUCCUUUCCUCCCUCUGUGUAUCCAAGUUUCUUCACUCCUUUUCUCCCUCUGUUGCACAGAUGGUACGAAUUAAAAUCACAAAAAAUGGAGACAUGCCUUCCCCCAAAAAACCCCAACCCCUCCCUCUCAAGCUUAGUAUCGCCAAUUCAAUGGCAGCCAUGAUUCUAAGAUUUUAGGUCGUGGGGGGCUACGGUCACUGAAGAAGGUUGCUUGAGACGGAUUUGGCGAGAAGCAAGCAGCGCCAUCUAGUCCUAGCUAAUACCAUGCUUUUGGUUGGGAUUAGCUAACGACAUCUAGUGAGGCCCGUAGUCGAGGCGAGUCCGAGCUAGCGUCAUUAAAGCUAAUCCUUUGCUUUGCCAAAUGCUGGACUACACUAGCUGUUAGUCCAGUCUAGUCUAGUGAGAGCUAGGGGUGUCAAAAAAACACACCCUUAUUUUCCUCCUUUGGAAAUACUUACAUGCAGAUGUGGGUAAAUUUUCACUUGUUACAGCAUACCCUUCAGCACAAGUGCUUCUUCUUUAGCAAUGGAACAAACAAGGUGUGUAUUUUAGGUUGUAUUAUAACCAUAAUGGUUUAGGCUUGCUAAGGUCUUUGAUUAUGGAUAAUGUUAGGGAGACCAAGUUUCUAAUAACGGUAAGCUAAGGUUGAUUAGGAUGUCAAUGAAGAAAUUGAAUAUGUACAUAGAGGGUAAGAAUGUACUUCUUUACUUUGUAGUUGAUUAUGGUUUAUGACAAAGUUUGUCAAGUUUUAAGAGUCAAGUAAGUUGUCGAUUAUUAAUUACAUUGAUAUUAUCUCAAUUUAACCACUUACACAGCU